CCCUUAGAUGUUCUGGGCCGCACGCGCGCUACACUGACUACUUCAACGAGUUGUUUCCUUGAUCGAAAGGUCUGGGUAAUCUUUGAAAGGUAGUCGUGAUGGGGAUAGAUCCUUACAAUUUUUGAUCUUCAACGAGGAAUUCCUAGUAAACGCAAGUCAUCAGCUUGCAUUGAUUACGUCCCUGCCCUUUGUACACACCGCCCGUCGCACCUACCGAUUGAAUGGUCCGGUGAAUCUUUAGGACUGUGGCUGAGGCCUUGCCUUGUGCGGGUCUGGCCGUGGGAAUUUAGUUAAACCUUACCAUUUAGAGGAAGGUGAAGUCGUAACA
rnacentral:rRNA from 1 species